CAGUUCAGAUUGCAGGCUGCAACUCGCCUGCAUGAAGGCGGAAUUGCUAGUAAUCGCGAAUCAGAAUGUCGCGGUGAAUACGUUCCCGGGCCUUGUACACACCGCCCGUCAAGCCAUGGGAGCCGGGGGUACCUGAAGUGCGUGACCGCAAGGAGCGCCCUAAGGUAAAACCGGUGACUGGGGCUAAGUCGUAACAAGGUAUC
rnacentral:rRNA from 1 species